GUACUAUACAAAGAGAAAAAAUACAUAAAACAUGCAUAUAAUGGCUAAGAUAUCCCACACGGAGAAGUACAGACUGGCACCUUAAUACACUAUUGUAAAAAUACCAAAUAGGUAAUACAUAGGUAAAAGGUGUCAGACCUCUCUAACUAGCGUUGUGUGGUGCAGUCGGUAAUAUACUCCUUGAUACUAGUAAGAAAAUGGGACUCCGCUAUAAAAAAAAAUUAUACUGGGUAUAGAGUGCAAAAAUGUGGCUCCGAUACCCCAAUCUAGGUGGACGUAGGUUGUAGAUGUGGCCCCUGGCCCCUCGGACAGCAACUGUUUCUCCAUUCUUCUCUGCCUCAGCGACAAGCCUAAUUUUAACAGGGUCAGGGUGGUCCCCGGUGUCUCAUAACCUCUGGACGGUGCGCCCAUUCAGCUGGACUGGUUGCCUGUGGUGGGCUCAGUUGUCUGAGGCAGCUUGGAGGGGGUUGACUUCAUGCAGGAUGGAGCAGUCAUCCUCUCCGGGGUGCAGGUAGCCCAUGGGCGCAGCCUGGUAGCAGUGGGCUGCCGGUCUCGGAGGUUGGACGACUGCAGGGAGAACCCACUGGCGUUUGAGUUGGGGCCAUUCUCUUUUGUAGUGGCCAGGUUGCCGGCAGUGAUGGCAUGCGGAACCUGGCUGCACUGUUCCCUUUGGGUGGGGCC